rnacentral:lncRNA from 1 species
AUGAUUGACAUGCAGCACAUUUGGGUCACUCCCAAUUGUAUCCAUCAAAAUGCAUUUCUACUUUUCUGGUUCAUGUCCCUUAACUGUGCUUAUCUUUCUAAGGCUUCAGUAUGGAAUAGCGUAUACAAAGUGAUUUCUAGAAUGCUUGAAGAAAAUGAAAAAUACAGACUUAGGCUAAAUGCCAAAGAUCAUCUAAUGAAAGCUCAAAAUAUACAAGAUGAAUCUUCCUAUCAUGUUCUGGUAAGAAUCCAUUUGAUAAUAAUUUUAUAGAUUUUUUUCCCUUUCCUUUUAUAUCCUACCUUCCAACUUUUAGUAUAUAAACAUUGCUAGUUUCUUCCUUAAUCCAGAGUUUGGCACAUAGUAAGCACUCAUUCUGCCUCUCUAACUGUAUUUUCUGUGUAUUUCUAAUGUGUCUCUUUUGUUGUCCUAGGAGUAAUUGUUGGUCCUGUUCUUUCUUUACAUAUUUUCUCUCAGAUAACUCACUAAAUUUUAAUAGCUUCAGUGAAUUUUUGGGUGUAUGAUUUAAUGUCUGUUUUACUCCUGACUUCUGAUUUUCUUUAAAAUAUUUUAAUCUGAGUAUAUCAUUUCAAUUCUACCCCUGGUUUCUUAAUUACCUGACUUCAUUAAACCAUUAGGGAGAGAUUAUGUCCAGUUUUCUGGAAUUUGAAAAGUAAUAGGAGCGUUAAAAUAGAUCUUGGAAAAGAAAAUUAGGCUUUUAUAAGUGAGAGUGUGAGGAGCACAAUAUAUUUAGAUAUGAAGAUGAGCAAACUUUCUUGAUUCUAACAGAAUGUUUAUGAAAUACAGAUUGAUAAGAUUAAGAUAGUAAUUAAAGAUAUAAAAGAAUGCUGAGACUAUAUUAAAGAGUCCCACUUGGACACUGGCGAAGGAUUUGUACUUUGUUCAGGAUACAAUAAAGAAACAUGGAACAUUUUCUUGGCCUUUUAUUUGAAAUAAUUCUAAAUGUACAGAAAAGUUCCAAGAAUACUGCAAAGAACUCCAUUAACCCUUUACCCAGAUUUUCCAGGUUUUAACAUCUUGUCACAUUUUCUUUCUCAUUUUCUUUCUCUGUAUUACCUCCACCUCUUUGAUAUAUAUAUCCUAAGAAUGAUGGUAUCUUUUAUGUAACUACACUAUAGUUAUCAAAUUCAGGAAAUUUAGCAUUGCUAUAAAACUUUUACAUAAUCAAUACUUUUUAUUCUAACACCCUUGUUGUCCAAUACUGUCUUUAAUAGGAGUUAUUUUUCAAGUACCAAGUCCAGUCCAGGAUCAUGUAUUGCAUUUAGUUAUCACGCCUUUUUUUGUUCUCCUUUAAUCUGUAACAAUUCUUUAACCUUUCUUUGCUUUCAUUAUACUGACUUUUUGAAGAAUAUAGGCCACCUGUUUUUCAGACUGUCCCUCUGGAUAUGCUGAUACUUUCCUUUUAUUUGAUUUCUGUGAUAUAUUUUUCUGGAAUAUUAUAUAAGCAUCACAUCUGAAGCCAUGUAAUAAUCUUCAUCAAUUCCUUAUUUGUGGGAUUAACUUGGAUUUCUUGGUGAAGUUGUCCAUUUAUAGUUAAAUUUUUAUUUUGCAGUUAAUAAAUACUCCAUGGAAAGAUAAUAAGAGUUUACACAAAUAUGUUAUUCUCCAUCAAUGUAUAAAACAUUUUAAAACAGAGCUAUCAGACCUGCAUUUUAGAAAGAAUUUGAUCCCAUUCAUGGAAAGGUUUGCAAAGGAGGCAAACUGGUAGAUGAAAAACUCUGGGGACUAUAUAGUAGUCCAAGUGAAAAAUGAAAUGUAUUUAAAUGAGUAUGAUGGAAGGGGCAGAGAGGAGACACAUGGGUAGAAGUAGGGUUCAGAAAGAGGGUACUGAGUUUUGAGAAUGAGGAAAUAAGAAAUAAGGGAGUCAGAAGAAAGAACUCAUUUAAUGAAGGUAUUGUGUUUUAUUUUAUUGUAUUGAGAGACUCAGGUGAAAAUUCUGAGCAAGCAAUUUAAACUGUAUUUGGGUUGAUGUGAUAAAUAUAUCAUUUAUAAAACUUAUAUUGUGGUUCCAACAUUAGAUGCAGAUGAAAAUGUCAAUGUGAGGAUAGAAAGAGGGGAGGAUUGAGUGCAGAAUGUCAGACAAUGUCAAGUAUGAAGAAUUUUCGAUUUCAGAGUCAAAUAUUCUAGAGCCUUAAUCAGGUGUAAAAAGAGAUGGUUGAGGGGCUGAAGAUGGAGGCAGAUGAAGUUUACAGAUGAUCAAGGAAUUGGCAGUUCAAAGGAGGACAAAGACCUUGCUUGCUGGGUGAGAGCAAAGGGGUACAAAAAGUAGAAGGAUAAAAAUAUGUCAUUCAGGAACCCUUUAAGAGUUCUAGUACCUAAGAGUAAAACAUAAAUGAUGACAUUGUCUAAGUAAUAGGCUCAUUUGUGAAUAGCUGCAGUGGACUGGAGUUAAAAGCCUUUGAUGCAGUGCUGUGACAUGGUUCUUAUAAAUGGAGCUGUUGAAGUCACCAAGGGUAUUAGCAGAAGUUGGAAUGGAAGGAAAAAUAUGAACUACACAUUGAGUUCAUCAGAAACUACUAUGGUUACCUAUAGAAAAUAAAAGUUGCUAAAGCAGUAAGCACAGGGAGCAUCUAACUGCUCUCUUUAGUCUUUGAAUGUUACAGUUUUCUAUAGCUGCUGACAUGAUAUUUAAUUUUAAUAUGAUUCAACUUUGUCACUUUUUAUUUAGGAUUAACCUAUUUUUGGGUCUAUUUUCCAGUGAAGAUUAUGAAGAGUUUAAAGAUGGAAUGUUAAAUGGAAUCCUAUUUAUUUAUUAUUUUGGUGUAUUUUGUUGGAAUUGGGACUUUAUAAAUUGAAUGGAAAAACCACCCUCUUUAUAAAUUAAUGAUAUUUCUUUGCAAGUCAAUGAAUAAUUUUAGUUAAAUGUUAUAUUCAUGGAAGUGUUAUUUUCAGAAUUAAUCCUCAUUUUGGAUAAUGUAAACUUCAUCUUAUACAUAAAAUUUAAAUUAAUGUAUCAUUACAAUUGCAUGUGUUUAUAAUUACCAAUUUUUCCUUUUCAUUAGUGAGCUUGUAAUUGCUUUCUUUUAG